GAUGAACGCUGGCGGCGUGCCUAAUACAUGCAAGUAGAACGCUGAAGGAGGAGCUUGCUCUUCUGGAUGAGUUGCGAACGGGUGAGUAACGCGUAGGUAACCUGCCUGGUAGCGGGGGAUAACUAUUGGAAACGAUAGCUAAUACCGCAUGACAACAGUUAUUGCAUGAUAACUGUUUAAAAGGGGCAACUGCUCCACUACCAGAUGACCUGCGUUGUUUUAGCUAGUUGGUGAGGUAACGGCUCAACAAGGCCACGAUACAUAGCCGACCUGAGAGGGUGAUCGGCCACACUGGGACUGAGACACGGCCCAGACUCCUACGGGAGGCAGCAGUAGGGAAUCUUCGGCAAUGGACGGAAGUCUGACCGAGCAACGCCGCGUGAGUGAAGAAGGUUUUCGGAUCGUAAAGCUCUGUUGUAAGAGAAGAACGAGUGUGAGAGUGGAAAGUUCACACUGUGACGGUAUCUUACCAGAAAGGGACGGCUAACUACGUG
rnacentral:rRNA from 1 species